rnacentral:tRNA from 1 species
GUCGCGGUGGUGUAGUGGUAGCACAUCUGGUUAAGUUUGGGCACGUGGUCGUUCGCUUUGACGUGGUCCCGAUGAGCUAGGAAGGUCGCAGGUUCGAUUCCUGCCCGUGAUC